GACGAACGCUCGCGGCGUGCUUAACACAUGCAAGUCGAACGGAAAGGCCCUGCUUUUGUGGGGUGCUCGAGUGGCGAACGGGUGAGUAACACGUGAGUAACCUGCCCUUGACUUUGGGAUAACUUCAGGAAACUGGGGCUAAUACCGGAUAGGAGCUCCUGCUGCAUGGUGGGGGUUGGAAAGUUUCGGCGGUUGGGGAUGGACUCGCGGCUUAUCAGCUUGUUGGUGGGGUAGUGGCUUACCAAGGCUUUGACGGGUAGCCGGCCUGAGAGGGUGACCGGCCACAUUGGAACUGAGGUGCGGCCCAGACUCCUACGAGAGGCAGCAGUGGGGAAUAUUGCACUAUGGGCGGAAGCCUGAUGCAGCAACGCCGCGUGCGGGAUGACGGCCUUCGGGUUGUAAACCGCUUUCGCCUGUGACGAAGCGUGAGUGACGGUAAUGGGUAAAGAAGCACCGGCUAACUACGUG
rnacentral:rRNA from 1 species